rnacentral:rRNA from 1 species
AACGAACGCCGGCGGCAGGCUUAACACAUGCAAGUCGAGCGCCCCGCAAGGGGAGUGGCAGACGGGUGAGUAACGCGUGGGAAUCUACCCAUCUCUACGGAAUAACGCAUGGAAACGUGUGCUAAUACCGUAUACGUCCUUCGGGAGAAAGAUUUAUCGGAGAUGGAUGAGCCCGCGUUGGAUUAGCUAGUUGGUGGGGUAAAGGCCUACCAAGGCGACGAUCCAUAGCUGGUCUGAGAGGAUGAUCAGCCACACUGGGACUGAGACACGGCCCAGACUCCUACGGGAGGCAGCAGUGGGGAAUAUUGGACAAUGGGCGCAAGCCUGAUCCGGCCAUGCCGCGUGAGUGAUGAAGGCCCUAGGGUUGUAAAGCUCUUUCACCGGUGAAGAUAAUGACGGUAACCGGAGAAGAAGCCCCGGCUAACUUCGUGCCAGCAGCCGCAGUAACAC